GUGGAGGGUCGGCCGGUGAUGGACUUCGGAUGGUGUUGGGGAGGUUUGACCGACAUCGAAGGCGAUUGGUCAUUGUAGGAAUCUAGCUGAUGGAGCUUGAUCGUCGUAGAAGCUCAUCCAAUAUUCAAUCGCUAUGGAGGUUCGGUCGAAGUAUGGUUCUUGUAGAAGGCUAAAAGGAGACCACUUAUUGUAGAAGCUCGAUCGAAGG
rnacentral:lncRNA from 1 species